rnacentral:lncRNA from 1 species
GCCCCUCUUGCAACUCAUUCAGAGAAGGCUUGAGUGUGAGCAUAACCCCAGACAAACACAUGGUGGGCAUGUGUGGGAGAUGCAGAUGGCCCAGAGACCAACACAGGGACUUAAUACUGGUGCAUGGACCCAUGACACACCCAUGGGAAGAUUUGGAUCAAGUAGUGUGAACUGGUUGGAAGCCCAAACAGAGCUUCCAUUGCCAUGGAAUGGUGGGAGUACAGAAGCUGUUAACCUAGAAUGAACAAAAGGAAAUGGGGGCACAGCAGAACCUUCUGUGGGUGCUUUUUUCCUCUUCUGGAACCUGCUGAGGGUGAGUACUACCCAUUUGGAUUGUUUAAUGGAUAAAUCAAUGUGAUGAAUCUAUUGCUAUGCUUGCAGCACAUCUCAUGUAGUUCUCCCAGCCUUUGGUGGGGGUGCUGCAGGGUGUUUUAAUGAGGGUCUGAAGGUACUCAGUCCCCUGGGAUUUGGUAGCUGGCUGUGACAGCUGGGCUGGGUUCCUUGUAAGAACCCAUUUCCUUAUAAGAAAGCACUAAGGAAAGUUAGUGUUUGCUCUACAACCACUGUGACAACCAGCUGUCUUG